rnacentral:rRNA from 1 species
GCGAGUGAAGCGGGCAAAGCUCAACCUGAAAAUCGGAUUCCUAAACGGGAUUUCGAAUUGUGGGCUACAGACGCGAGAUCAGCGUGUUACCCUGGUAUAAGUGAGUCUUAUUGGAAUACUACAUCAUAGAGGGUGAAAAUCCCGUCUGUGACCAGGAGUUAGCCGCGUACGAUCCGUGUUCGCAGAGUCGCGUUGUUUGGGAUUGCAGCGCUAAAUGGGAGGUAAAUUUCUUCUAAAGCUAAAUAUCGACGAGAGACCGAUAGCGAACAAGUACCGUGAGGGAAAGAUGAAAAGAACUUUGAAAAGAGAGUUAAAAAGUACUUGAAAUUGCUAAGAAGGAAGCACUGGAAACCAGUCAUGUGAGUAAACUAAACCUUUCGCUACUCGAGUGUAUUAGUGUGGAGAGCCCAAAGCCUCCUAUCUGGUGCAUAAAAGCGCGUUUGGAGCAGUUUGCCUACAGAGUCAGAAUCAAUUAGAUCCGUGAGAGAAAGCUAUCAUAACGGUAGGUUUUAGUUUAGCAAUAGAUUAGAACUGUUUAGUGUGGUAGUGCUAUCAUGGGUCUGGUUGAGGUACCAUCUUAAUGCGGAUCGCGGUUCCCUGCGUCUGGAGGCAGAGGGAUGUCAGACAAUAAAAUUGUGUGCGUUCUGAAGUUCUUCACUACAAAGGCUGAAUCAGUUGCAGCAUUCGAGAU